rnacentral:rRNA from 1 species
CCCUUAGAUGUUCUGGGCCGCACGCGUGCUACACUGAGUAAUUCAAUGGGUAAGGGAACGCUAGAGCAUUACCUAAUCUUGAAAUUUGCUCGUGAUGGGGAUCGACGGUUGCAAUUUUCCGUCGUGAACGAGGAAUACCUUGUAGGCGCAUGUCAUCAUCAUGCGCCGAAUACGUCCCUGCCCUUUGUACACACCGCCCGUCGCUCCUACCGAUUGAGUGAUCCGGUGAGGCUCUGGGAUCUGGACGGAAAGAGCGUUUCGCUUGUUCUGUUUGGGAAACUUGGUCGAACCUUAUCAUUUAGAGGAAGGAGAAGUCGUAACA